GUUAGAGAAAAUAAAUUAAUGUUUUUACUAUAAUUGAAAAUUAUAGUUUUAAAAAUUAGAAAUUAAAGAUUCCAUCUCAAAAUAGUAAUACUUGUAUUGCCCAGGCUAGUGGAAAUGCAGAAACAGGAAUAUGGUUUCUAGCUCAGCUGGAAUCAGCUUGCUCAUAUCUGUGACAUUCAAAGCUGUAUGAAGUAACACUGCUGUUUUGCCUCACUCUUGUACACACAUCACAUAACUGAAUUCUGGUGAGGAGGAAGCAGUGGUAUUUCUCUUUAGGUUAUGUGAUUUGGGUGGGAGGGCCGUGUUGUUUCUGUUUUUGUUGUUGUUGCUGUUGGUGCCUGUAUAAUGUAUAUUACUCAUUGAUAAUUAAGUAUGUGCUAGUAGAAAUCUGUUAAAGAAGCUGUAGUUGCUAUUCAAGUAAAAAACACUUGCAGAAAUAAUGUGUUCUUCAAGUUAACUGUAAUUUUCAAGAAGCUUUCAAAAUGUUUGCAUGUAUGACGGCUUAGUGGGGAAAUUUCUCAGCAGUCAUUCCUACUAUAACAAUGUUGUAUGAGCAAAAAGGAAAAUGUUUAUUAUCUUUGUUUUUCUUUUUCAGGUUCUGUAAUCUGCAGUGAAGCAUGUACAGAGUUUCUGCCUCUGGUGGUGUAAUAUUCCCUCUUCCACUAUAAUAUACUCUGCAAAAGACAGAAUGGACUAAAUAACAUUCAUAACCUCUCCAUAAGAAGCUGACCUCCACUGGCUUCUGAUUACUCCUCCCCACACAACAAUCCGAGACCAAGAGGCAGAAAGAGCAUGAAAAGUGAGCCUCCAACUGGUCCAGACUCUGCCAGAAAGCCACGGAAAUCCUCUUCACACUGGAACAAGAGGCUGAGGAAAUGCAUCCCCUGUCCCUGACCUGUGCAUUCCUGGACAUCUGUUUAGAGGAG
rnacentral:lncRNA from 1 species